GCCGCAGGCUCCACUCCUGGUGGUUGCCCUUCCGUCAAUUCCUUUAAGUUUCAGGCCUUGCGACCAUACUCCCCCCGGAACCCAAAGACUUUGAUUUUUCAUUAAGGUGCCAGCGGAGUCCUAAAAGUAACAUCCGCUGAUCCCUGGUCGGCAUCGUUUAUGGUUGAGACUAGGACGGUAUCUGAUCGUCUUCGAGCCCCCAACUUUCGUUCUUGAUUAAUGAAAACAUCCUUGGCAAAUGCUUUCGCAGUUGUUCGUCUUUCAUAAAUCAAGAAUUUCACCUCUGACUAUGAAAUACGAAUGCCCCCCGACUGUCCCUGUUAAUCAUUACUCCGAUCCCGAAGGCCAACAGAAUAGGACCGAAAUCCUAUGAUGUUAUCCCAUGCUAAUUGUAUACAGAGCGUUGUGUUGCGGACCGCCCAAUUCGCUAGCCCAAUUGCCCACAAUUUCGGGCUUAGAGAGCCAACACAAGGCAAGAGUGCUAGCUUGGCCCAAUUCCGGAAGGUUCUAGGAAACUCUAGCACAUGUGAACAUGUAAAUAUUCUAGAAUACCUAAUACAAUUCCAGCACAUGUAAAUAGCUAGGAAAUUGUAUAAUAUUCUAGAGUUAGACCAAGUUUGUCAAAGUUAGGUAAAGUUAGGCAAGUUAGUUAGGUAAAGCCUCCCCUAUAAAUAUGGGAUGGCAUUUGGCAUUUGUAUCCAACAAGCAUUGUAAUCUCUCUUUGUGCAAUACAAGUUUCAUUGGCUCAAUUGCUCUCUCUUCUCUUGUUCGAGAAUCUCUAGGCUUACUUUAGCAACAUUCGGCAAAGUUGUCUAAGUUGCCGCACGGGUUAGCUGCGCAAAACACUCAUCCCGUGACAAGUGGUAUCAGAGCUAAGGUUUUGCACGCACGCAAAUUAGCUCACGAAGCAAUGGCCAACCCUUUCGAACGUAGCACAAGAGGGUGUUGUUGGUGUGGAUGUUCCACCGGAACCAAGCCGUGGCCGAGAGGGAGAACGCGCCCAAGGCAAGACUCGCGGCAAGUCCAAGGCCCUAUCCGUGGAUGCGUUGGAGCCUCGUGUAGGCACUCUCGAAAUAGCAUUGUCCGCCACUCAAGAUAGCCUCGUGGGAUUGGAGGAAAGAGUGGAUGGUCUCGAGGGAGAAUACGCCGAGUUCACGGUGGCCACAAAAGCUCUCAUCCAUGAGCAAGCAAACAUUCUCCGAGGUGAGUUUCGUUCUUUCCAUGAUGAGUUGCUCAAACUUCGUAGUUUUGUUCAGGACGAACUACGUGCUGUCCGUGCGGAAGUGGAUGAAGUCCGCUCGGAUUGGGCAUGGCACAAGCGCACACUCUCCACAAGUCCAGCUUCCGCAAACUCGAGUGAUGCGCGCCGCAUUGACGUGCCAAAGCCCGACACCUACGAUGGCACACGCAAUGCCACCAUCGUGGACAAUUUCCUCUUUGGGCUGGAUCAAUACUUCGAUGCCAUGGGUGUCCGAGAUGAGGCAUCGAAAGUGGGCACUGCACCCACCUAUUCUUAGAGGCGCUGCACAAACUAUGGUGGCGUCGCAAGCAUGGCGAGAUGGGCAAGGGCAUUUGCACCAUCGACACUUGGGCCGACUUCAAGCAAGAACUCCGAAAGCAGUUCGCCCCAAGCAAUGCGGAGAAAGAAGCGCGAGUGCGCUUACGUCGCCUCAAGCAAUCGGGUAGCAUUCGGGACUACAUCAACGAGUUCACUACCCUCAUGUUGGAGAUAAGCGACAUGUCCGACAAGGAUUCACUCUUCUACUUCCAAGAUGGCCUCAAGGAUUGGGCCAAGACCGAGCUUGAUAGGCGUGGUGUUCAAACACUUGACGACGCCAUUGCCGUUGCGGAGUCGCUCACUGAAUACUCUACCCAAUCCAAGGACAAAAAGGCCAACCAAGGCAAAGGUGGGGGAGAGAGUCGCAAGGACAAGGGCAACAACCGCAAAGAUUGGGGGCAGAAAAAAGCCACCUAGCAACAAGAGUUGGCAAGGAAAAUCGGAGGGCAAGAAGGAGGCGCCAAAGCCGCGAAGCCCAUGCUUCAUAUGCAAUGGUCCUCAUUGGGUACGCGACUGUCCGGAGAAGAGGUCGCUUAACGCUCUUGCUGCCCAAACUCAAGAGUAACCCACAAUGUCCACGGAGGAACCCCAACUCAGCAUGGGUUCUCUCCAACGCCUCGGCGCACUCAAUCGCCAACAGCCCGCACUAGUCAAGAAAGGGCUCAUGUAUGUUAGCGCAAAGGUAAACGGUCAGUCCGUUCGCGCGCUGCUAGACACGGGAGCAACACACAAUUUCGUGUCCGUAGACGAGGCCAAGCGUUUAGGCCUCAAGGCCACCAAGGAAGGAGGCACAAUGAAGGCUGUGAAACUCACCCGCCAAGCCAAUUGCGGGAAUUGCACAAGGCUGUGCACAUCACACUCGGUACGUGGAGCGGAAAGCUUGACUUCUCCAUUGUGCCCAUGGAUGACUUCAAGAUGGUCCUCGGCAUGGAAUUCUUCGACCAAGUCCAUGCCUUCCCGCUGCCCGCUACAAACUCCCUAAGUAUCCUCGACGGGAGUAAGGCAUGCAUGGUUCCACGGAACGAGGCAAGUCCGAGGAGAAGACACUCUCCGCCAUGCAAUUCAAGAAGGCUUUCAAGAAGGACCCAAGCUUCUUAGUCUCCAUUCGGGAACUAAAUGAGGAAGGAAAUAGCGGAACUUCGCCAAGCCAAGUCCCUCCGCAAAUUCAAGCCGUCCUCAAUAAGUACAAGGACGUGAUGCCUCCAGAACUUCCGAAGAAGCUCCCACCUCUGCGAGAGGUAGAUCAUGCGAUCGAGCUGGAACAAGGCGCGAAGCCACCAGCCUUGGCGCCCUACCGCAUGGCGCCACCCGAAUUAGAGGAGUUGCGGAGACAACUCAAAGACUUGCUGGACGCAGGCUAUAUUCGCCCCUCAAAGGCCCCAUUCGGUGCACCGGUCCUCUUCCAAAAGAAAAAGGAUGGAUCGCUGCGGAUGUGCAUCGAUAUAGAGCGCUCAACAAGAUCACCAUCAAGAACAAGUAUCCGAUUCCCUUGAUUGCGGACUUGUUCGACCAGCUUGGUAAAGCGCGGUACUUCACCAAACUUGACUUGCGCUCCGGGUACUACCAAGUGCGCAUCGCCAAGGGAGAUGAACAAAAGACAGCGUGCACAACAAGGUACGGGUCUUUCGAAUUCCUUGUGAUGCCUUUUGGCCUUACUAAUGCACCCGCCACAUUUUGCACACUCAUGAACAAGGUGCUCCAACCAUUCCUCGACCGCUUCGUGGUCGUGUACUUGGAUGACAUAGUGGUGUAUAGCACCACGCUCGAGGAGCAUGCCCAACACUUGCAACAAGUCCUCCAAGUACUUCGAGACAAUGAGCUCUUCCUCAAACUAGAGAAGUGCUCGUUUGCCCAACAAGAGGUGGAGUUCCUUGGCCACAAGAUUGCGGGCGGGAAGAUCAUGAUGGAGAAUGACAAAGUAAAGGCCAUCCUCGAUUGGGAGCCUCCCUCGAAAGUACCCGAACUUCGCUCAUUCCUUGGACUGGUGAAUUACUACCGCCGCUUCAUCAAGGGCUAUUCAGCUAAGGCGGCACCCUUGACGGAUAUGCUCAAGAAAAACAGAACAUGGCAUUGGUCCGAAGAGUGCCAACGCGCCUUCGAGGAGUUGAAGAAGGCAAUUUCGGAGGAACCAGUCCUCGCUCUUCCGGACCACACAAGCCCUUUGAAGUUCAAACGGAUGCCUCGGAUUUCGCCAUAGGUGGAGUCCUUAUGCAAGAAGGCCACCCAAUAGCAUUCGAGAGUCGAAAGCUAAAUGAUACGGAACGCCGCUACACGGUGCAAGAAAAGGAGAUGACAGCAAUCAUACAUUGUCUAGCGAGUGUGGCGACAUUACUUGCUUGGCUCGCACUUCACGAUCAUGACGGACAACGUGGCGACAAGCUACUUUCAAACUCAGAAGAAGUUGAGUCCGAAGCAAGCACGGUGGCAAGAUUUCCUUGCGGAAUUCGACUAUCGGCUGGAGUACAAACCGGGGAAAGCCAAUGUCGUUGCGGACGCUCUAAGCCGCAAGGCCGAAUUGGCGACACUUAGCAUGAGCCAACCGAAGUCUGACCUUGUCUUACGCAUCAAGGAAGGCCUCCAACAAGAUCCGCUAGCAAAGGAUUUGCUGGAGAAGGUGCUCGAGGGAAAGACAAGGCGGUUUUGGCAAGAGGAAGGCAUCCUCCUCACCAAGGGAGAUCGGCUGUUCGUGCCAAGGUGGGGAAAUUUACGGAAGGAAGUAAUCAAGGAGUGCCACGACUCCAAGUGGGCUGGUCACCCAGGAAUUGAGCGCACCACCGCACUAGUCCAAGCCUCGUAUUUCUGGCCGCACAUGAGGGACGACAUCGAGGCAUAUGUGCGAACUUGUCUUGUGUGCCAACAAGACAAGGUGGAUCAUCAACUUCCAGCGGGAUUGUUAGAGCCGCUACCACUAGCAACAAGGCCAUGGGAGAGUGUCUCCAUGGACUUCAUCACAUCGCUGCCCAAGUCCGAAGGUUGCGGUAGCAUCAUGGUCGUUGUCGACCGAUACAGCAAGUAUGCUACAUUCAUUGCCGCACCCGUCGAUUGCAAAGCGGAUGAGGCAGCCCGCCUAUUCGUCAAGCACAUUGUGAAGCUUUGGGGAGUUCCGAAGAGCAUUGUGAGCGACCGAGACCCUCGGUUCACUGGGCGUUUUUGGACGGAGCUCUUCAAGAUGUUGGGGACCGAUCUCAAGUUCUCGACAAGUUUCCACCCACAAACGGAUGGGCAGACUGAGCGCAUCAAUGGCCUUCUCGAGAUGUACUUGAGGCAUUAUGUGAGCGCUCACCAGCGGGAUUGGGCAAAGCUACUUGACAUUGCCCAAUUUUCUUAUAACUUGCAGCGAAGCGAGGCUACGGCAAGAGUCCAUUCGAGAUCAUCAUGGGAUUCCAGCCCAUGACCCCCAAUGCCAUAGCCUCGACUUACGGAGGGAAAAGCCCCGCGGCAC
rnacentral:lncRNA from 1 species